rnacentral:ncRNA from 1 species
CUGAAAGCGGCGAGAAGGGCGGACGUAUCUUCUGGGAUAUGAGCCCGGUACCAGCCAGCAGGUGGCAGGUACACGCCCGUUUCAG